AAACCCUAACUUAAUUCAAACCCUAACUUUUCUACAAAAUUGCACUUCCAAUGCCUGCCGCUGUAAACCUCCUCCGCCGCUAUUCCCUGGAGAGACACGCUGCCUCCGCCGCUGUUCCCGUAAACCUCCUUUGCGCCUCUUCUCUCUGCGGCGCUAGGCGAUUCGUCGGCGCCGCCCCUUCUCCCUUUGCCUCAAUCGAUCCGGCGUCGCCUCUUCCCCUGCCCUAACUCUUCUUCUUAAAUCUGAAAUCGUCGCCGCCGUGGUUCCGAAAUCUCAGGCGACGUUGUCGCCCCAAGGCCGACGUUGCUCCGCCUGAAAACGCCGCCACCGCCGCGCACAGAGUCGCUGCUGCUGUCUCUCAAAUUUAGGGGAGGCCGCUCAAAAUUGAGCCUUAAUUCUUCCCCUUCCAGAUCGAGCCCUAGCUCUUCUCCUGCCGAUUCAGUUCGGCCGUUGCCGCCGCGUGUGGAAUACCUGCGAAUCGGCGUCCUCCAUCUCUCUACACACGAAGUCUGAAGUCAAAGCCGGCUGCUCCUCUCUCUCCUGUAACGGACUAAUCGCCGCCGCUUCCGCUCCGGUGGUGUCGCCGUGUUCGAGCCACGCCGUUGCUGUUUUUCUCGGACUCCGCCGAGGCAGCAAGAGCUGCCAUCGUCAUCUUCGUCCCAGCUCGGCUAAACAGGGCUGUCGGCCUUCCCUCCUCCCAAAGCUAAGUUAAUCUAUAGCUCUACUGUGCAGUUUCCAUUUUUCUAUAAUUGUUAUGCAAUAAAUAGCACUAAGCACUAAACUCUUGCUACUGUAUCAAGGAAUUCCUCACUGCAUUUAGCUCGUGUGAAAGUCAUAGGUUGUUGUUGGUUUUGAUGGAAAUAAAUUGAUUAUGCAAUGGUAAUGUUUGUCUAUCAUGCUUAGAUGGAGAAUAUGCAUUAUGAGAUAUAGCAUAUUGAGCUCAGUAAAUACCUUGAAAAUUUGUUGGUAGGCUGCUGUAGUGGUUUUAAAUGAACUGGGAAAAUCUGAUAUAUUCAAGACCUCAGAGUUUUGGCAGAACAAUGAAUGAAGCUUCUCCUUACUCAUGGUGUAAUAUAAUGGUCCAAGCUUACAAACUCGUCAAUAUCGAGUUUCAAAUUACUCCAUGAUUUAAUUUGUUCGUCUAUUAUUGUGUUUUUAAAUGACGUUUUGCUCGUAGUUUUGGAUGCGAGCAGUUGCUGCCAGGAAGAGCAUUUGAUAGUCAGCAACUUUAUGAUGAUUUUUGGGAUGGAACAGAGGUCCAACUGAAAUCAGUGAGUGGAAACAAAUACGUUUCCGCUGACAAUGGUGGGAGAGGGGCCGUUGCGGUUGACAAAGUGAUCACCUGCCAAGUUGAGGGUAGUUCAGUUAUAUGCAGAGUGCUUUUUACUUGGAAAGAAAUAACGACAACCGAAUUCACAUCAAACUCAAGACUGGGAUGUAUUUGCAGGGCAUGACAGUACUGAAAUAUCAAGUAGGGCUCAGGUGCAGAAGAGAAUUGCUGGGAAAGUCGGGCAAAAUACUACCGGAGGUUGACAUGUAUGGGGGAUUCCAGUCCUGUUACGAUUUCUCGGGGCUGAGUAAUACGGUGGAACUCCAGCCCUGCAUCUGACCUGGAUCUCUCAGCAUGUAAAUUUCCUGCUCUGACCUGGAUCUCUCGGCAUGUAAAUUUCCAGCUAUGACCUGGAUCUCUGGGCAUAUAAAUUUCCAGCUUGGAUCUAAUAUGUAAUGUUGGAUGAAAUUUGUUUGAAUGUAAUAUUUAAUGAAUAAUGUUUGAAUGAAUGUAUGGAUUUUUAGUAUUAAUAUAUGUAUUUUUAGUUUUC